GAUGAAGAACGUAGCGAAAUGCGAUAAGUAAUGUGAAUUGCAGAAUUCAGUGAAUCACCGAAUCUUUGAACGCACAUUGCGCCCAUUAGUAUUCUAGUGGGCAUGCCUGUUCGAGCGUCAUUAAGUCCACUUAAGCCCUGCUUAGUGUUGGGAGACUGCUCCAGCGGUGCUACCCUGUAGCUACCCUGCAGCUCCUCAAAGACAGCGGCGGAGUUGUGGUAUCCUCUGAGCUUAGUAACUUGUUCUAGCUUUCGAGUACACCACUUCCCCUGCCGUAAAACCCUUAAUUUUUAAUGGUUGACCUCGGAUCAGGUAGGAAUACCCGCUGAACUUAAGCAUAUCAAUAAGCGGAGGA
rnacentral:misc_RNA from 1 species